rnacentral:rRNA from 1 species
UACGUAGGGGGCUAGCGUUGUCCGGAAUCAUUGGGCGUAAAGAGCGUGUAGGCGGCUCGGUAAGUCCGCUGUGAAAGUCCAGGGCUCAACCCUGGAAUGCCAGUGGAAACUGUCGAGCUAGAGUCCGGAAGAGGCGAGUGGAAUUCCUGGUGUAGCGGUGAAAUGCGCAGAUAUCAGGAGGAACACCAAUAGCGAAGGCAGCUCGCUGGGACGGUACUGACGCUAAGGCGCGAAAGCGUGGGGAGCGAACAGG